rnacentral:rRNA from 1 species
UACGUAGGUGGCAAGCGUUGUUCGGAAUCACUGGGCGUAAAGCGCACGUAGGCGGCUUGUUAAGUCAGGGGUGAAAUCCUGGAGCUCAACUCCAGAACUGCCUUUGAUACUGGCGAGCUUGAGUUCGGGAGAGGUGAGUGGAACUGCGAGUGUAGAGGUGAAAUUCGUAGAUAUUCGCAAGAACACCAGUGGCGAAGGCGGCUCACUGGCCCGAUACUGACGCUGAGGUGCGAAAGCGUGGGGAGCAAACAGG